AAAGAGCCGAGUUCCAUUAUGGUCUGCACAGAGGUAAUUUGGGCAUAGUACGGAACUCCCAGUAGGUCCCACCUGGUGUCCCAUUAGUGGGGUGCAGCUCCCCUUAGUGUACGCCAGGAGGCACCAGGAGGAUUGUUAUGGACACAGCUGAGGGGUGGACAGAUCCUCUGUAUUGGGGGCUGAAUAGGAGAACACUUGAGUACAAUAUCCAGAAUCCUCCCGGCCCGCAGCUGCCCAGGGUAUCUGCAGUGACACCACAGAGCGCCAAAGCACACUACCCAGAAUCCCUGGGGGCCGGCUGCUUGGCGGGUGAGGGGGCCCAUCUCGGUGAGAGCUGCGUGGGCAGACCUCUGGACUACACUACCCAGAAUGCGAAUGGCCCUCGGCUUCCAGGGAGGGCCAACACCCUAAUGGUUGCAUGAACUGACCUCUGGACUGCACUACCCAGAAUGCUCGGGGCUAUCGACUUCCGGGAACUGGGGAAAAUCACCCUAAGGUUUGCGUGGGCAGACCUCUGGACUACACUACCCUGAAUUCUCAGGGUCCUCGGCUUCCGGGGAGGGACAUCACCUGAAUGGUUGCAUGAGCCGAUCUGGGGACUACACUACCCAGAAUGCUCGGGCUGCGGCUUCCAGGGAGGGGCAUCACGGUGGGGGUUGCAUGGGCCUACCUCUGGACUACACUACCCAGAAUGCUAAUGACCCUCAGCUUCCAGGAGGGGGUGCAUCGUUUCGGGGGGCGGGGUGGGGGGGCGACCUCUGGACUACACUACCCAGAAUGAUCAGGGCCGCAGCUUCCAGGACUGGGGCAUCACGGUGAGGGUUGCGCGGGCAGACCUCUAGACUACACUACCCAGAAUGCUAAUACCCUCGGCUUGGGGGGGGGGGCAUCACGGUGAGGGUUGCAUGGGCCUACCUCUAGACUACACUACCCAGAAAGCUAAUGACCCUCGGAUUCCAGGAGGAGGGGGGGCAUCACAAUGAGGGUUGCGUGGGAGGACCUCUGGACUACACUACCCAGAAUGAUCGGGCCGCGGCUUCCAGGAAGGGGCAUCACCGUGAGGGUUGCGUGGGCAGGAUGCUGGACUGCAGUACCCAGAAUGCUCCAGAGACCAUCAUGUUGAGGGUGCCUGGGGAGAACGCUGGAUUAUAGUGCCCAGAGGCCCUUGGCUUCCAGGGGCCAUCAUGGUGAGGGCUUCCUGGGCUGGAUGCUGGACUGCAAUACCCAGAAUGCUCCAGGGGCCAUCAUGGUGAGGGUGCCUGGGGAGAACGCUGGACUACAGUGCCCAGGGGCCUUGGCUUCCAGGGGCCAUCAUGGUGAGGGUUGCGUGGGCACGAUGCUGGACUGCAAUGCCCAGAAUGCCUGGGGCCCGCCUUCCCAGAGGCCUCUGCGGCCUCCCAGAGUUGGGCACAGAGGUGAGGAGUCCUGUGUGCUGUGUGGAGUGCUGGCCAGCUGCAGGUGGCCACCCAGGGCUGACUGACACCGGCGUGUUCAUUUCUCUGCCUGCUCCACGGGCUGCAGCUGUGCUUGGAGGGGCUUAGUGCAUAGGAUGGCGCUUAGGAAGGUGGUCUCUUUGACGCUUUCUCCUGAACGUCCACUGCAGUGAUGUCACCGAUGGGCACAACUGGACAUCAGACGAUGUCCACAUCUGUGAUGUCACUGAUGGGCACAACUGGACAUCAGAUGAUGUCCACGUCUGUGAUGUCACCGAUGGAUACAGCUGGACAUCAGAUGAUGUCCACGUCUGUGAUGUCACCGAUGGGUACAGCUGGACAUCAGAUGAUGUCCACGUCUGUGAUGUUACUGAUGGGUACAGCUGGACAUCAGAUGUAGCAGUGAGUCAGAUCUCACUAGGUAGCUACUGAAGGUGGAGGAAAGAGCCGAGUUCCAUUAUGGUCUGCACAGAGGUAAUUUGGGCAUAAUAAAGGGGGAAGGAGGGAAGAGUUCAGCUUGGGACUUGGUGAAGUAAGAAGUGGAGUCAGUCGUUGUGAAUGCAGUUAGGCCAGCUGUGUUGGUGGCAGUGGUAUAAGAAUUCUGUCUUCCCCCAGAGACUGGGAGAGAGAACCUGUCCUGCUGGAUGAUUGUAUUUCAAGGUAAUGACCCUCAGGCUCUGAGCCCCUCUGAGUUGCAAGAGAUGCAUGUUGUCAAUUGCAAGUCCUUUCUAUUAAAUGACCGGAGAAAGGGAGGUUGGGGCCUGUCGCCAGGUGUGGGCCAGGACAGAGUAAGUUUUCUUGGAAGCCUUGAGCUUUCCUCAGGCAGUUGUUUUGGGGGACGAGGUGGAGGUGGGGGUGUUGCACAUGAGGCACAAACUGAGCUGAGUCCCUGAGCUCAGAGGAUUUGCUUCCAGCAGGGUGUGUGGACUUGGGGGAACACCAUCUUCCUACCUGCCUCAGGAGGACUGGGCUCAUGCAUGCCCCACCAGGAAGCCCCCCCCACCCCAGACUCUAGAGGGCAGAGGCAGUGACUGCUCUGCCUUUGGCUGCUAUGGGGAGUGCCCGUCCUCAGCCCCCCAGGAAACACACAGAGUCCCUAGCCAUCCCUGUGUUGGCCUGUGGCCUUUUCUGUGGCCAGCAGGGCCUGGUGUCCCACAAAGGAGAUGCCUGUAAGGGAGGCACAGUUGGAGGCCUGGGCUGUGAAGGGCCUUUUGCUCCUCCUGUGCUGAACAGGCAGUGUGCUAGUCCUGAACGUCAGAAUCCUGACUCAGCAAGCUGCAUCAUGACCAUUUUGGGAAAAUGCACUAAGUCCCUGGAGCUGCCUCUUGGCUGGGACUGGGCCUCCUGAGGUGCCUAUGCAGUUAUCAGAGGCCCUGGGUGGAGGCAGGAGGUCCCUCUUCAGCGCCUGCACUGGGCCUCUGUGGGGAGACAUAUCCACCCUCAGCGUCCUGACAACCAGCCCCCCCCCAUUCCCCUCUCCCCUUUCUGUCUUGUUUGACCCCCGGGCUGUUCUUCCCUCACCCCUUUAAAGGGCCAGCUUGGGCCCAGUGGACACAGGUGAGAUGCCUUGACCAGGUGGAACGUCCUCUCCUUUGCCUCCUGAGAUUAAAAGGGACAUCUUUGGUGUUACAAGCUGUGGAUGGCUGGGAGGUGGGGCUGAAGGACAUGUAAGGGGUGGGAUUGGUCUAGUUCUGUGCUUUCUGGGGCCCAGGGACAGCAAGGUGGAGGCUCAGUGUCCAGUCCCAGGAAGGCUGACCUCUUACCGCUCCUUGUCCUCAUCCUCCACUGGCCCCAGGAGGUUGAAAGCUGAGGCCAGAGUGCCCAGACAGUCAGUGCGGGAAGUGACCACCUGGCAGUGGUGAGGGCCUGUGAGGUGCCCUGCUCCUGCCCCCUCCCUAUGUGGGGUGACCUUGGGGAGACAGGUAUCUGCAGAGGGUGGAGCCGAAUGUGCCUGUGUCAUUCUCCUAGGGCUGCCUAGCAAAGUGCCACCAACUGGGUAGCUUAGACACACAGAGACUUGUGACCUCAGACUCUGAAGUGCAGAGCUCUGGAAUUGAGGUGUCGGCCGCAUUCCCCGGGAUGGUCUCCCUGCAGCCGCUCUAGUUUCCUGGGUUUGGCAGCAGAGCUCCAGACUCCAAAGGGUGUCUUUCCUGGGUCUGAUUCCUCCUAUUUAUAAGACACAAGUCUAUGCAGAUUUUUUUCUAUAAACUUUAUAAUUUUGCACUUGAAAAUUGGACUUUAUGGAUUAUUUUGAGUAGCUUUUUGGGUAAGCCGUAAAGAUUGCGUUCGAGUUUCACGUAUUUCAUUUUUAUUUUCACAACUGUUCUGCAGCCAUUCAUGGUUACAGAUUUUUUUCUCUCCAUCGAGUGGCCUUUGUCCCUUUGAGAGGACACUUGACUGGUUUUACAUGGGUCUUUCUGAGCUCAUUCUUCUGUUCCUUUUGUCUAUUUCCAAUGCCUUUCCCACUGCCACACUCUGGGAUCACUGAAGCUUUAUGAUAAGAGCUGUAACCAGAUGUGCAGAGUCUUGAACUAUUUUUUAAAAUCUCUUUAUUUUGUUUGUUUAUUUUUGUGUAGUGCUGAGGAUCCAACCCAGUGCUUCACAUGUGCAAGGCAGGUUCUCUGCCACUGAGCCACAAUCUCAGCCCCCUUUUGAGCUAUUUUUGAUCACUCCUUUGCCAUAUCUUCUAGGCUCAGCAUUUGUAGGUAUCUUCUGUGGUGCUGGGAUUGGGAUUCUGCUGCAUCUAAAGAUCAAAUUAGAAAGAAGUAUCUCCCUAACAUUAAUGGUUGAAUUGAUCCUGAGCAAGGAAAAUCACUGCAUUUAUUUAUCUUUCUUUUCAUUCCUUUCAACCAUGUUCAAAGUUCUCUGAAUGCAUACUUGUAUAUGUGUUGUCAGAGUAACCUUUCAGUAUUUCAGGAGUGCUAUUUUUUUUAGAAUUCAAAUUCCAGUAAUUCCUGUGUUGCAUACAUAUAGCAAGUUUCCUUCUCCUGGGGACCCACGUGGGAAAUGCCACAUCUGGGGAUGCCUGGGGGCCCUAAGGUGGGCAGCAGAGGUUCAUUACCCUGGGGACUCUCUUGGGGAGACAUCAUGACCUGGGGAUGCCUGGGGGCUCUGUCUAAGGUGGGGACCAGGGCUUCCUUCUCCUGGGGACCCACAUGGAGAGACAUCAUGACCUGGGGAUGCCUGGGGGCUCUGUCUAAGGUGGGGACCAGGGCUUCCUUAUCAUGGGGACCCUCUUGGGGAGACAUCAUGACCUGGGGAUGCCUGGGGGCUCUGUCUAAGGUGGGGUCCAGGGCUUCCUUAUCCUGGGGACCCUCUUGGGGAGACACCAUGGCCUGGGGAUGCCUGGGGGAUAUGUCUGUGGUGAGGACCAGGGCUUCCUUCUCCUUGGCAAUGGAGACUCCACUGUGGAUUCAGGAUGACCGAGGUCCAGGUGAGGAAAACAUGAGGAAGAAGCUUCCUGGGCACUGCCUGUGUGCUGAGGAAGAAGUUCUGCCAUGUCCUUUGCUUUCCCAGGUAAUAUUUCAGCAGAACUUCCUUUACAACAGUAUUCCUCACUGAGGGUUUGGCUGCUCGUCAUUAUGUCACUUCAGUGUGUUUUGUGUGGCCUGAGUGUAUUUUGGGGAGAAAUCCAAGGGCACAGGAGAAACCCAGAUGGCCACUCAAGAUGGUGCAGGGAGGCCCAGCGCCUGGAGUCCCACUGGGGCCUGAGGGGAAGGGCUAAUGUGCACCUCAUUGCUUGCUCUUAUUCAUGUUUUAAUGAGUAAAUUUUCUUAUAGGUUUAAGUACUUGAGAAAUAUUGAGAAGUCGAUGUGUUAAAAUUCAAAGUUACAUUAAGUGUAAAUAUUGCAUUUGUGUCGGUUACAAGAAGAACCUUGUGGUGGGGUUAUAGAUCAGGGGUGGAGUACUCCAUCCCAGGCACUCUGAGAUGAAACCAAAUGAAGAAGCAAAACACAGACUUGAAGAUCUACAGUGUAAAUUAACCACAAGUAAAGGACUUCAGAUGUAUUAAUCCAGUGUACUGCAUGCUCCUAUUAGAACCUCAUUUGUCAUUGUCUAAAAUUUAUUGGAAAUAGCUGGAGAAAUCUGUGUAUCAGUUAGGUAUUAGAU
rnacentral:lncRNA from 1 species